GCUUAAAUUCAGCGGGUACUCUCGUCUGAUCUGAGGUCGGAGAGGUGAUUGGGUUUGGCGAUGCCAAGCCAACAUUGUUGCGAGGUCUCCAGAGGAGAGGCCGUCGGUCGUCUUUCUCUCAAAAACAGAGCAUUUUGGCACCGAGGGAGCAAGAUAUUACACGUGUGGGUUUUAAAACACACGUCAAUUUCCGAGCAUACGUCCCUCCGCACACGAGAAAGAUAAACCGUCGACCGGAGACACCGGUCUACAUUUAAGGUGACGAAGCAAGACAAAAAAGUACAGAGCAUAUUUUGCUUGCUGCGACGACCCAAGGCGCAAAAAAUUAAUUUUGCGAUGAAUGUUUCACCGACCCUCAGACAGGCGUGGCUUCGGGAGUGACCCAAAGCCGCAAUGU
rnacentral:rRNA from 1 species